rnacentral:rRNA from 1 species
GACGAACGCUGGCGGCGUGCUUAACACAUGCAAGUCGAACGGAAAGGCCCUGCUUUUGUGGGGUGCUCGAGUGUCGAACGGGUGAGUAACACGUGAGUAACCUGCCCUUGACUUUGGGAUAACUUCAGGAAACUGGGGCUAAUACCGGAUAGGAGCUCCUGCUGCAUGGUGGGGGUUGGAAAGUUUCGGCGGUUGGGGAUGGACUCGCGGCUUAUCAGCUUGUUGGUGGGGUAGUGGCUUACCAAGGCUUUGACCGGUAGCCGGCCUGAGAGGGUGACCGGCCACAUUGGGACUGAGAUACGGCCCAGACUCCUACGGGAGGCAGCAGUGGGGAAUAUUGCACAAUGGGCGGAAGCCUGAUGCAGCAACGCCGCGUGCGGGAUGACGGCCUUCGGGUUGUAAACCGCUUUCGCCUGUGACGAAGCGUGAGUGACGGUAAUGGGUAAAGAAGCACCGGCUAACUACGUG